UAAUGGCCUACCAAGCCAAGACGGGUAGCUGGUCUGAGAGGAUGAUCAGCCACACUGGAACUGAGACACGGUCCAGACUCCUACGGGAGGCAGCAGUGGGGAAUCUUGCGCAAUGGGCGAAAGCCUGACGCAGCGACGCCGCGUGAGUGAUGAAGGCCUUCGGGUUGUAAAGCUCUGUGGAGGGGGACGAUAAGUCGGAGCGAAUAGCUCCGAUGAUGACGGUACCCCUUUAGCAAGCACCGGCUAACUCUGUGCCAGCAGCCGCGGUAAGAACAGAGGGUGCAAACGUUGUUCGGAAUUACUGGGCGUAAAGCGCGUGUAGGCUGCUCGACAAGUCGGAUGUGAAAGCCCUGGGCUCAACCUAGGAAGUGCAUUCGAUACUGUCGAGCUUUGAGUCCUGGAGAGGAAGGCGGAAUUCUCGGUGUAGAGGUGAAAUUCGUAGAUAUCGAGAG
rnacentral:rRNA from 1 species